CCAAAGGCUCUUUUCAGAGCCAUUUACCCCUUUCUUAUUAGUGAUC
rnacentral:ncRNA from 1 species